rnacentral:rRNA from 1 species
UACGUAGGUGGCGAGCGUUGUCCGGAUUUACUGGGCGUAAAGGGAGCGUAGGCGGACUUUUAAGUGAGACGUGAAAUACCCGGGCUCAACUUGGGUGCUGCAUUUCAAACUGGAAGUCUAGAGUGCAGGAGAGGAGAAUGGAAUUCCUAGUGUAGCGGUGAAAUGCGUAGAGAUUAGGAAGAACACCAGUGGCGAAGGCGAUUCUCUGGACUGUAACUGACGCUGAGGCUCGAAAGCGUGGGGAGCAAACAGGAUUAGAUACCCUGGUA